rnacentral:lncRNA from 12 species
CUGAGCACUUACAGGGAUAUGAAAGGUAUCUGAGUUUCGGUUUGCUGGCAUGGCACCCUUGGCAGGAGCAGCUCCUUCUUGGGCCUAGAAUAUUACUUCAACACUAGUGUGUGUUAGAAGACUAUGUGCGGCUUGAGUAGGUUUCCUGUGAGUAUUUACCCAGGGAAUGAAAAGGCGUGUCUCAGCUUUCUUACCUGUAAAAUGGGCUGCAGUAACUUCUACCUCAUGGCUGCACAGAAGGUGAACGGAGAUGAACAGUGGAGGGCUCUUCACACGGGACACCGGGCCUCGCACGUGGCAAGUUCCCAGCUGAGCCCAGCAAGAGCGGCACCACCCAAACAUCCACUCCCAUGUGUAUUACGCUCUGCCUUCCAGAGAACUCCAUCCCAGGAGUGGACCUGUGUGACGAUGAGCCACCAAGAAAGGCAGGCAGGGGAACAGCCUGGUACUUAUAAACGUUUGCCUGUGGACCACAGCUCUAUCCUGAAAAAUAUAUCCUAUGUACUUACUGAUGAGUAG